rnacentral:tRNA from 1 species
GCUCGGAUAACUCAGUGGUAGAGUACGGGAUUGCAGUGAGGUGUUUACACAUUCACCAGCGAAAUAUCCUGAAGUCGCUGGUUCGAUCCCGGCUUCGAGCU